CCUAAUAAUACUGAGACAUAUCUGCAUUGUCACUGUGAUGAUAUUUGCACAAUGAUACAAAAGUAGCAAUGGGUAAAACUGCUGCCUUAGCACAAAUCAAGGCAACUGCACCAAGUUGUGCUAGAGGUCAAGGUAUUCUUCACUGCUACAGUAAAAAAACACCUGUUUCAGGCCGGAUGGGUGCAGUGGCUCACACCUGUAAUCCCAACACUUUGGGAGGCCAAGGCAGGUGGAUCACUUGAGGUCAGGAAUUCGAGACCAGCCUGGCCAACAUGGUGAAACCCCUCUCUCUACUAAAAAUACAGAAAUUAGCUGGGCGUGGUGGCACGCACCUGUAAUCCCAGCUACUCGGGAAGCUGAGGCAGGAGAAUCACUUGAACCUGGGAGGCAGAGGUUUCAGUGAGCCGAGAUCGCACCACUGCACUCCAGCCUAGGCAACAGAGUGCGACACUGUCUCAAAAAAAAAAAAAAAAAAAACCACCUGUUUCAUUUAAGAGGUCUUUGAUGAAGACAAUAAAAAUUGUUUUAUUUAAGUACACGUUUAUGUGAUUAAAUGCAUGUAUGUAUGCAUCAAGCACUUUUAAGUACAACAUUUGUCUUGAGGAAAAGCACUCUUGCAAUUUGAGUUUGGAGCUGAAUUAAUAGCUUUCUUCAUGGAACACCGUUUUUAUUUGAAAGAACAGCUAACAGACUAGUUGUUCACUGGAUAUUUGGCAGACAUGUUCUUAAAAAUAAAGUAGAGCCUGAUAGCAUUGUCGGUUAUGAUAAAACUCAAGCCUUUAUUUUUAUUUUUGGAGACGGAGUCUCACUCUGUUACCCAGGCUGGAGUGGAGUGGCGUGAUCUCAGCUCACUGCAACCUCUGCCUCCCAGCCUGGGCAACAGAGCAAGACUCUGUCUCACAAAACUAAAAUAAGUCCGGGCACGGUGGCUCAUGCCUGUAAUCCUGGCACUUUGGGAGGCCGAGGUGAGCGGAUUGCCUGAGCUCAGGAGUUCAAGACCAGCCUGCGCAACACAGUGAAACCCCAUCUCUACUCAAAAUACAAAAAAAAUUAGCUGGGUAUGGCGGCAUGUGCCUUAGUCCCAGCUACCCGGGAGGCUGAGGCAGGAGAAUUGCUUGAACCUGG
rnacentral:lncRNA from 10 species